rnacentral:rRNA from 1 species
CUUGUUGGGUGAGGUAAUGGCUCACCAAGGCGACGACGGGUAGCCGGCCUGAGAGGGUGACCGGCCACACUGGGACUGAGACACGGCCCAGACUCCUACGGGAGGCAGCAGUGGGGAAUAUUGCACAAUGGGCGAAAGCCUGAUGCAGCGACGCCGCGUGAGGGAUGACGGCCUUCGGGUUGUAAACCUCUUUCAGUAGGGAAGAAGCGAAAGUGACGGUACCUGCAGAAGAAGCGCCGGCUAACUACGUGCCAGCAGCCGCGGUAAUACGUAGGGCGCAAGCGUUAUCCGGAAUUAUUGGGCGUAAAGAGCUCGUAGGCGGUUUGUCGCGUCUGCCGUGAAAGUCCGGGGCUCAACUCCGGAUCUGCGGUGGGUACGGGCAGACUAGAGUGAUGUAGGGGAGACUGGAAUUCCUGGUGUAGCGGUGAAAUGCGCAGAUAUCAGGAGGAACACCGAUGGCGAAGGCAGGUCUCUGGGCAUUAACUGACGCUGAGGAGCGAAAGCAUGGGGAGCGAACAGGAUUAGAUACCCUGGUAGUCCAUGCCGUAAACGUUGGGCACUAGGUGUGGGGGACAUUCCACGUUCUCCGUACCGUAGCUAACGCAUUAAGUGCCCCGCCUGGGGAGUACGGCCGCAAGGCUAAAACUCAAAGGAAUUGACG